UGGGGAAUAUUGCACAAUGGGCGAAGGCCUGAUGCAGCAACGCCGCGUGAGGGACGACGGCCUUCGGUUGUAAACUCUUUAGUAGGGAAGCGGUACCUGCAGAAAAAGAACCGGCUAACUACGUGCCAGCAGCCGCGGUAAUACGUAGGGUGCAAGCGUUGUCCGGAAUUAUUGGGCGUAAAGAGCUCGUAGGCGGUUUGUCGCGUCUGCUGUGAAAUCCCGAGGCUCAACCUCGGGCUUGCAGUGGGUACGGGCAGACUAGAGUGCGGUAGGGGAGAUUGGAAUUCCUGGUGUAGCGGUGGGAUGCGCAGAUAUCAGGAGGAACACCGAUGGCGAAGGCAGAUCUCUGGGCCGUUACUGACGCUGAGGAGCGAAAGCGUGGGGAGCGAACAGGAUUAGAUACCCCAGUAGU
rnacentral:rRNA from 1 species